CGACAGUCAAUGAACUGAGAACACGGCCCAGAUCUACGGAAGCAGCAGUGGGGAAUUUGACAUGGCGGAAGCCUGAUCCAGCAAUGCCGCGUGUGUGAGAAGCUUCGGGUUGUAAAGCACUUUUGUCCGGAAAGAAAUCCGUCUGGCUAAUACCCGACGGGAUGACGGUACCGGAAGAAUAAGCACCGGCUAACUACGUGCCAGCAGCCGCGGUAAUACGUAGGGUGCGAGCGUUAAUCGGAAUUACUGGGCGUAAAGCGUGCGCAGGCGGCUUUGUAAGACAGAUGUGAAAUCCCCGGGCUCAACCUGGGAACUGCAUUUGUGACUGCAAGGCUAGAGUGCGUCAGAGGGAGGUGGAAUUCCGCGUGUAGCAGUGAAAUGCGUAGAGAUGCGGAGGAACACCGAUGGCGAAGGCAGCCUCCUGGGAUGACACUGACGCUCAUGCAUGAAAGCGUGGGGAGCAAACAGGAUUAGAUACCCUGGUAGUCCACGCCCUAAACGAUGUCAACUAGUUGUCGGGGAUUCAUUUCCUUGGUAACGCAGCUAACGCGUGAAGUUGACCGCCUGGGGAGUACGGCCGCAAGGUUAAAACUCAAAGGAAUUGACGGGGACCCGCACAAGCGGUGGAUGAUGUGGAUUAAUUCGAUGCAACGCGAAAAACCUUACCUACGC
rnacentral:rRNA from 1 species